rnacentral:rRNA from 1 species
UACGAAGGGGGCUAGCGUUGUUCGGAAUUACUGGGCGUAAAGCGUACGUAGGCGGAUUGUUAAGUGAGGGGUGAAAUCCCGGGGCUCAACCUCGGAACUGCCUUUCAUACUGGCAAUCUUGAGUCCGGGAGAGGUGAGUGGAACUCCUAGUGUAGAGGUGAAAUUCGUAGAUAUUAGGAAGAACACCAGUGGCGAAGGCGGCUCACUGGCCCGGAACUGACGCUGAGGUACGAAAGCGUGGGGAGCAAACAGG